AGUGAGAUAAGGACACUAGCAACAAAUGACAGCUCACUGGUGACAGACAGCAGGCAGAACACCCAUGUCUUCUCUCAGCCUGGGCAGUGGCUUUCUGUGUGGAUGGGGGUGCCUUAGCUGGGUCCCUGAAUGAAGACACCGUGGAGCCUAGAGACUAAGGACUUUGUGUGAACAAGAAAUACACUGUUAUUUUGAAUCAUUGGGAGAAACAUAUAUAUUCAUCAGUGUGAUUGAUCAUCAGUAGAUGUAACGGUAUGAGACUCCAGCUCUUCUUUAUGUGUGGAUCUUUCUAUAUGAUGGUCCCUCGCUGCCCCUCCCUCUUUCACUUUACACUAUGCUCGGGAGGUCUUCCUUCAUCUACUUACAACUACAACCCAGCUUCCUCCACUCCACACUCAUUAUCACCCUUAUUUUUUUCCAUUGUUCUUAUCACCAUCUACCACACUACAUAUUUACUUAUUUGCUUGUUAGAUAUUUGUUCC